rnacentral:tRNA from 1 species
GAAUGAUUAGCUCAGCUGGUAGAGCAUUUGACUUUUAAUCAAAGGGUCGUGGGUUCGAGUCCCAUAUCGUUCA